rnacentral:lncRNA from 1 species
UAUGAGUCGAAAUAAGCAAGACUUGAAGACAUACCAGGCGUGCUGAUACCCGAGCUUAUAGCAAGGCAGACCACUCUUCGCCAGGCAGACUGUCGUUCAACUACCUCCUUUGCAAAUUCUUCAUCCACAAGCAGGUUAGCAAGAUCUGGAUUUCUGUCAUAAGCCUGCUUAAUACGAUCCAAAAAUAUAGCACGGAUAAUGCAACCACCUUUCCAAAUUCUAGCAAGCUCCCCUAGUUUCAAGUCCCAUCCCUUUAGGAAGCCUUUCCCUCCGGUAUGAGUCGAAAUAAGCAAGACUUGAAGACAUACCAGGCGUGCUGAUACCCGAGCUUAUAGCAAGGCAGACCACUCUUCGCCAGGCAGACUGUCGUUCAACUACCUCCUUUGCAAAUUCUUCAUCCACAAGCAGGUUAGCAAGAUCUGGAUUUCUGUCAUAAGCCUGCUUAAUACGAUCCAAAAAUAUAGCACGGAUAAUGCAACCACCUUUCCAAAUUCUAGCAAGCUCCCCUAGUUUCAAGUCCCAUCCCUUCUCAACACUCUUUGCCCUUA